UUGGUGCCAACAAAAAUUUCAUGCCGUUGAAAAUCUUUGGGAUUUGAGGUCCAGGGAGGGAUAAGUCGAUGCUGGUUUGACAGAGCCACCAAAGGAGGGAAAUUUCUGUUUGGAAAAUCUCUUUUCUCUCUAAAAAAAAAAAUGCUGCAGAAACUGUGUUUGAUGGCUUCACAUGGAUGUUCUCCAGGGCUUGUUUUGCAGCAAGAACUAGCCAUGGUUGGCAGCAUUAUGAAGGGUUGUCAACCGUUGUUGCCUUCUCCAGUAGCAAAACCUGAAAUUAUCAGAUAUCAGUCUCCCAGUCUUAGGCUAAAUCCGUCUGAGGUGUCAAGGAAAUCCCAGAAUGAGUGGUUCAAUUCCAAUCAGUUUGUCAACGUUGACUUGUCAGCUCAAAGGCCCAUGCAUAUUGAUGUUCAAGCAACUUGUCCAAGUCCAAUACUUUUCAGCUUUGGCAUCGUUGAACAAUGCACUGAGUGUGACAAUAUUUUGCAGUUUAUCAUGUCUGGGACUGCUGAAGCAGGGAUAGGUGGAGGUCAUUUAUCUUUGUUGUCUGACUUGAUGGAUUUGCAACUGUCAGGCAUUGAUGAACCUCAACAACUGUUGACACCUCUUAUCUACCCAAAUAGAAAAUUCUACAUCCCAAAGCCUUUGCUAGAUAUUUUUCAAGAUUCACCCCUUAGUUCGAAGAUCAAAGUUCAUCCAGAUGGUCAAGUAACAUUUAUGGGUACUGCGAUUGAGAUGAAAGAUCUUCUUUCUGUAGUUGCUGAGUCGCACCUAUCACAAAGCACACAUAAGAAUGAAAAACAGUCUAUGCUCGUUCCACACUUUAGUAGGCUGAAUAUCGAUGAAGUAGAGUCCAUACGUCAUUCCUCAACAUUGGAUAUUCAUUCUACAUUGACUGUUCCUUUAAGGAGCAGUCCUGAGAAAGUCAAAUUCAAGCCAUCACAAAAAAAGAACAAGAAAGUAACAAGGGAUAGGGAUCUCUACAAGAAGAACUACUUACAUGCAUGUGAGAGCCUUCUGUUCUUGAUGGUUAACAAGAGGCAACAUCGGAAAACAGCAAUUCUUUCACUGAAGAAAUCUGGCCCUGAGCUUCCUGAACUCCUCACACAAUUUUCUGCUGGCAUUGCUGGUACUGGCCUUGCUGUGCUGCUAUCUGUCAUAUGCAAGCUAGCUUGUGGAAGGGUUCCCUUGUGCGCGUCUAAGCUCUUCAACACAGGAUUCGGCUUUGGAUUGGUUUGGCUUUCUUGGGCAGUCAAUAAGCUAAGGGAUACAAUUGUCAGCACAAGCAAGAAUGUAGGAAAGUUAGGAUUGAAAGAUGAGGUAAUGAUUCAUAAGGUGGAUAAGAGCCUAAGAGAAGUUUACUUCAGAGCCGCAACAUUGCUAGCAGUGGCAGUGCUAAGGCUUGCUUGAGUUCUAUCUCCAAAGACGUGAGCACGUGCAGUUUGAAGAGCUUUAAGUGCUACAGUAGAUAGAGUAAUGUUUGGAACAGCCAUUGAAUGUCCAUGGCCAUGGCUUUUGGUGAAGUGAUUGCAAAGCAGAACAAUCUUGGUUUCAAAGCAAUUGAACCUUGUUGGAAGCACAAUAUUGUGGAUGUUUGGCUUGAUCAGCACUUGGCUGGUGUAGUUUAUCGGUUUUCAUUUGCACAAAAUCCGGAUAUCAGGGCGACCAAAAGAUGCAUAUCUUUGCAUGGAUUAUCACUGCAACAAGAUUUCAGCUCCCAGAAUUAUAUUCUCGAAAGCCAUAAUUAGUAAAUAUGUGCGUAGUUAAAUGAAGGCAUACUUGCUAGAACAUAACUCAUGUCAUAGACUAAUGAACUGAACAAGCAUGAUUUAGUGAUUUACUUGAAAGAAGGCAUCAUAUAAACACUAGGCAGGUGCAUUAAGGCAUGAUGUGAUGCUAGUGCUACUAAUGUUCAACAGAUAUAGCAAUAAUCUAAGAUAUGCAACUAAAUCAUGAAACGUUUUGU